GACAAAGCCAGCGAGUCUAUCACCUUGGCCGGAAGGUCCGGGUAAUCUUGUGAAACUUUGUCGUGCUGGGGAUAGAGCAUUGCAAUUAUUGCUCUUCAACGAGGAAUGCCUAGUAAGCGCAAGUCAUCAGCUUGCGUUGAUUACGUCCCUGCCCUUUGUACACACCGCCCGUCGCUACUACCGAUUGAAUGGCUUAGUGAGGUCUUCGGAUCGGCUUUGAGGACCCGGCAACGGGAUCUCGUUGCUGAGAAGUCGAUCAAACUUGGUCAUUUAGAGGAAGUAAAAGUCGUAACAAGGUUUCCGUAGGUGAACCUGCGGAAGGAUCAUUAGUGAAUCUUCAAAAGUCGGCUCUGUGGAUUGUGCUGGUGGAGACACAUGUGCACGUCCGCAAGGUCGCAAACCCCACACACCUGUGCAUCUAUGACUCUGAGUGCCGCUUUGCAUGGCCUUGACCGGCCUGGCGCUCGAGUACUUUCACACACUCUUGAAUGUAACGGAAUGUCUUGUUGUGCAUAACGUACAAACAGAAACAACUUUCAACAACGGAUCUCUUGGCUCUCGCAUCGAUGAAGAACGCAGCGAAAUGCGAUAAGUAAUGUGAAUUGCAGAAUUCAGUGAAUCAUCGAAUCUUUGAACGCACCUUGCACCCUUUGGUAUUCCGAAGGGUACGCCCGUUUGAGUGUCAUUGUAAUCUCACYACCAUUGACUUUGGUCUUUUGGUAUGUGGACUUGGAUGUUGCCGUCGAUGUCUACGGCUCGUCUGAAAUGCUUCAGUGUACCCCGCUUUGCGGCGUAUUCGGUGUGAUACAUCUUCACCGGAGUUGAUCCUUUUGGGGGUCGCGUCUGUAAUGUGUGGCUCUAUGCUUCCAACCGUCUCUCGAGACAAUCUCUGACAAUUUGACCUCAAAUCGGGUGGGACUACCCGCUGAACUUAAGCAUAUCAAUAAGCGGAGGAAAAGAAACUAACAAGGAUUCCCCUAGUAACGGCGAGUGAAGAGGGAAAAGCUCAAAUUUUGAAUCUGGUGUCUUUGACUCCCGAGUUGUAAUCUAGAGAAGUGUUUUCCGUGUCGGACCGUGCACAAGUUCCCUGGAACGGGGCGUCAUAGAGGGUGAGAAUCCCGUAUAUGGCACGGACUGCCGAUGCUUUUGUGAUACACUCUCAACGAGUCGAGUUGUUUGGGAAUGCAGCUCAAAAUGGGUGGUAAAUUCCAUCUAAAGCUAAAUAUUGGCGAGAGACCGAUAGCGAACAAGUACCGUGAGGGAAAGAUGAAAAGCACUUUGGAAAGAGAGUGAAACAGUACGUGAAAUUGUUGAAAGGGAAGCGUUUGAAGUCAGUCGUAUCUGGCGGGAUUCAGCUGGGCUUUUGCCCGGUGUACUUCUCGUCCGAUGGGUCAGCAUCAAUUUYGACCGGGGGAAAAAGAUGUGGGGAAUGUGGCUGUCUWYGGGCAGUGUUAUAGCCCCAUGUUGUAUGCCUCGGUUGGGAUUGAGGAACGCAGCGCGCCUAUAGGCCAGGGGCUACCCGCCUCUUGACACGCGCUUAGGAUGCUGGCAUAAUGGCUUUAAGCGACCCGUCUUGAAACACGGACCAAGGAGUCUAACAUGUGCGCGAGUGUUUGGGUGUCAAACCCAUGCGCGAAAUGAAAGUGAAAGGUCGGGAUCAUUCACGUGUGC
rnacentral:rRNA from 1 species